rfam:Felis catus breed Abyssinian Contig72050.1, whole genome shotgun sequence. [26-MAY-2016]
GCCUGGGUGGCUCAGUGGGUUGAGCGUCCGACUUCGCUCAGGUCAUGAUCUCGAGGUUGGUGGGUUCGAGCCCCACAUCGGGCU